CCUUCCUUCAAACGAUGAUGCGGCGGUGAAGCGUUCCAAAUUCGUAACGGUGAGAUACGUAAGUAAUCGUCUUUAAUUCACUUCAAUUCGUCUGUGUUAGUCGGCGUGUUCCUGUACAAAUACACAUAGAUUUCUCAAACUCGUCCGGCCGGUGCUCAUCUGUUGUGGAGGCCAGGUUGCUUUGUUUCUGGGAGGCUCGGAACUUGAAACGUGGUGGUGAGCUCAUGUGGAUGGACUUGCUCACCGUGGAUGUUAAUCUUUGGUUCGAGCUUUUUGAUGAACAGGUUUUAAGAAAUUUCAUUUUUUUGUUUGGAAGAGACGAUGUAUCAGUAGGUGCUUUAGCCAAACGCUUUCCCGCCGGCGAAGAUUUGAGAAGCUCCGUUUCGAUGGUAGAAAAAUAUUGACUGUUGCCGUCGUAUUGGUUUUUGUGACCCUGAUGUCUAUGAACAGCUCCACCAUCCCUCUCGGUUCUUCUUUAGUUAAGCCAUCAUCAAGGGGAUGUCUUAUUUGCAUCAGAGGCCUAGACUGAUAUCUUUGAUAUCAAAGUUUUUAGAUUCACCGCCAAUAUUCACCUUCAACCACAUCAAACUACAAUUCCCGAUAUGGCUUCUUACAUGUGUGAAGCUCCAGCUACUUCACGUCAAUGACACCUCAGAAUCUCAUCUUCAACUCCUGGCACUCACAAGGCUGAGAAAUACCAUAUUUUGUUGGUGAAAGGUAAUCCUAAAGUGGUAGAUGGAAUCGGUAAUGUUCUUUUGCUAUAUUCAGCAGUGUGUAUAGAAAAGAAAGAUUACAGUACAGCUUGAGGGUAGUAGGGAAGAAGAUGAAGAGUGGAAAGAGCUUGACCCAAUGUUAGUCUGACUUCCUAAAACUUACCUGAUAAUACAGCGAGAGAUUGGUGAAGAAAGAGACCAAGACGAAGUGAAUAAGAUAAAGAGUGACAGAGCAUUGCUUUAACCUGUGUGUACGUACCCUGUCUAUGAAACUGGAAGGUUUCACAUGGAGGAGUAAGAAUAUAUAGGAUGGGAAAAAGAUGGUUUGGAGUUGUGGUGUGUUGAUAUAUAUUUUUGAGAUGAGACUAUUAGAUUUUGUAAUGUUAGGAUUGAUUGUCAAAUCAUGAGAAAAAUACAUUGACUUACCAGUUAUAAUAGAUUCUUUUUCGUCUUC